UGGGGAAUAUUGCACAAUGGGCGCAAGCCUGAUGCAGCAACGCCGCGUGAACGAUGAAGGUCUUCGGAUCGUAAAGUUCUGUUGCAGGGGAAGAUAAUGACGGUACCCUGUGAGGAAGCCCCGGCUAACUACGUGCCAGCAGCCGCGGUAAUACGUAGGUGGCAAGCGUUGUCCGGAAUUAUUGGGCGUAAAGCGCGCGCAGGCGGACUAGCCAGUCAGUCUUAAAAGUUCGGGGCUUAACCCCGUGAUGGGAUUGAAACUACUAGUCUAGAGUAUCGGAGAGGAAAGUGGAAUUCCUAGUGUAGCGGUGAAAUGCGUAGAUAUUAGGAAGAACACCAGUGGCGAAGGCGACUUUCUGGACGAACACUGACGCUGAGGCGCGAAAGCCAGGGGAGCGAACGGG
rnacentral:rRNA from 1 species